rnacentral:lncRNA from 1 species
AUAUAUCUACGUCUUUCAAGUUGUAAGGGUUCGUCUUAUUUGGCAUUCCCACAAGGAUAACAAAUGUUGGUAAAAAUAUUUGUGGCCUCUCAUACGUUUAGAGACUAAUCAGCCGGUGUAUAGAUUGGCUCAUCUUCCCAUAAAUGGUGAUUGCUCAUCCGCCUCACUCUUCCAAUCUCUUGCUCUAGCUCUUUACCAAACAAGAAAUCUCUUGCUCUAGCUGACAAAGUAGGAGUACAGUUUUCUUUAUUUUUAUUUUAUUUUUCCUUUUAUCUUUUUUGGGUGGGGGAGACAGAUUUGUUUCAGACCCAUGUAUCAACUCAUUUUUUGUCGACGUGGGCAGAAAAUUGUGUAGGGCCGAAGGAGAACAAAGAUUGC